CCCCCGGCUCCCCGGCUCCCCCCGGCGCUGCGGACCCGGGCCCGACAGUUCCAGCCUCACUAUCAGUUGUGUGCUGAGUGGAAGACUGAGAUUUUGAGUCAUCACACCAACAGAAAUUGAGAUAUCUACUGGGGUAACUGCAGGCCAUGGCACUGGCUUUCUGAAUCCUAGGAACUGGCCAAGAUCUUAAAUAGUUUACGGGGGUGAAAGACUUUUUGAAGGAGAACAAAGAUCUUGAAACUUGUGUUCUAGAAGACUUGCAGAAGCUAGAAGCUGUGAAGGAGCAGUUGUGUCCACAAAAGCUUUUAAAGGAUUUGGGAAAAGCGAUGCCUGAAGAAGAGGAAAAUAAAGGUGGCUGUUCAUGAAAAUGAAACAUGCUGUCUGAAGAUGAACUUAAUUACUAUCUCAGAAUAUACUGGCACUUUCAAAAGAGGAAAAUCCUUGGCAAUAAGCCAGAUCAAAAGUUUGGCACACUGGAUAAGGAUUUUCUGUGGUGGUGUUUUUUUCUCUUUGUGUGAAUAUAAGGGUGACCAGCGAGCUAAGAAUCCCUGUCGAGAAAUAAGACCAUAUGAGCACCCUACCUUAAGGCCCUCAGCAGGAAUAACUCCAGUGAGGCUGAGUCCAAUUAUUUUAAAUGGAAUAAAGAUAAUUUAUUGCUUUAACUGCCACACUUAUUCUUGACCUGCAUCAUAUAUGACAAUUACUUUCCCCACCUUCAAAGCCUUAUUGAAGGCAUAUCUUCUCCAUAAGGUCUCCCCUGACUAAGACUUCAUUUCCUCUUCUCCUACUCUCUUCUGCAUCACCCUGAUCUGCUCUCUUUUAGUCACCCCUCCCUCAGCCCCACAGCACUUACAUAUCCGUAAUUUAUUUAUUUUAAUGUCUGUCCCGCCCCUCUAGACUGUAAACUUGUGGGCAAGGAACAUACCUAUCAAAUCUGUUGGAUUGUACUAUCCCAAGCGUAUAGUACAGUUCUCUGUGCACAGUAAGCCCUCAAUAAAUACCAUUGAUUGACUGGACACCCUGCAGGAGCAGAAUGGCUAGGCAAAUCAGAGGGCUUCAAGGUUCCUCGAGAGGUCUCCUUGCUUCAAUAAAGAUUGCAGAUUAGCACUGA